AAAAAGGCAUGCAUACUGCGGGCGACCGGCUACCGACGGAAGGAGACCGGCUCGACCUGCUAGAAUGCGCCAGCGCUGCACGGUUUUGUUUGUGCGAAGUUCGUGACCGCUCCUUCUUUCCUCCGAGAUUACGCCUUCCAACGAAAAAGCCUUCCGGCCGGCGUCGAUUCCUCUGUGAGUUUUCCGGUCUCCGAUUGCGUCGCUGAUCGCUUCUUCUCUUCUUUUCGUUACCAAGAUCUGGUUUUUUCUUCAUAUCUUGGCCUGAUUCGAUACAAAAGUUGUUUUUUGUUGUUUUGCUGUUGGUUUCUUCCUUCGAAUUCUCUUGCUUUUGUUGUCUCUAGGUCUUCCGGGUUGCUUUCAGGGUUAGGGUUCGUUUCUGGUAGCUGUGAUUCGAGGUCUGGUUAGGGUUUAUUGGAUGAUUUGUUCGCUGUUUGCUGAUUCUGGGGAGGGAGGUGGAGAUUGGGAAUCCGUUACCUUGCUAAUUUUGGGGUUCUAUAGUUUGGACUCAAUCAUCAAGUAUUGAUUUUGAGAAGAGGAUUAGACUUUGUCUCUAUAAUUGGUAGAGGAGAUAUUCUUGUCUUCCCUUUGGCUGUGGUUAAUUCCCAAAAUUUGCUAUAUUUAAGUUGAGAUUUAGGGUUAGGGUUUGACGGGAGAAUCCGUUGGAUCAACGGCCAAUUUGGAUUGGUUGCUCAUAUAGAUGAGAAUUGAGUAGUUGUUGCUUAGGAUCCCAUGAGACGGCGACCACCUGCAUCCAGUCACCACGAGGAGAUGGAGAAGACCAAUGGUAAGCACCCGCCGUCUCGGCUCUGCUUCCUAGCCACACUAUCUGCCAUGUUCUGGGUCUUGAUCUUCUACUUCCAUUUCGCCGUGCUCAGUAAUAAUCCCAUAAAUCCACCGGAACAACCCGACCGCUUCCACUCCGUUUCAUCCAAUGCCCAAGAUUUCUCUAAGGACCACCUUCAAUCUGAGCCACUUGUUAUGCCGUAUUCCAAGCUGUCUGAUACCCAUUCAUCACCCAAGAAUUACCCUUUCACCCGGGCCCUCAGGACCCUGGAGAACAAGAGCGACCCUUGUGGUGGGAGGUACAUCUAUGUCCAUGACCUCCCUUCCAGGUUUAACUAUGACAUGCUUAAAGAUUGCAGAAAGCUCAGUCUUUGGACCAACAUGUGCAAGUUCAUGACCAAUGCGGGCAUGGGCCCGCCCCUUGAGAAUGUUGGCGGGGUCUUCUCAAACACCGGGUGGUAUGCCACCAACCAAUUCGCAGUGGAUGUGAUCUUCAGCAACCGAAUGAAGCAGUACGAGUGCUUAACCAAAGAUUCCUCCAUUGCAGCUGCCAUCUUUGUGCCUUUUUAUGCCGGAUUUGACAUAGCACGGUAUCUUUGGGGUUACAACAUAUCGGUUAGGGAUGCUGCCUCUCUUGAUCUGGUGGAUUGGCUCAUGAAGAGACCAGAGUGGAGUGUUAUGGAUGGGAGGGACCACUUCUUGGUGGCGGGGAGGAUCACAUGGGAUUUUAGGAGGCUGACAGAUUCUGAUUCAGAUUGGGGGAACAAGCUUCUCUUCUUACCAGCUGCGAAGAACAUGUCUAUGCUGGUUGUGGAGUCGAGCCCAUGGAAUGCAAAUGAUUUUGGGAUACCAUAUCCUACUUAUUUUCACCCAGCUAAGGAUGCUGAUGUUUUUGUUUGGCAGGAUCGAAUGAGGAAGUUGGAACGAAAGUUUCUUUUCUCUUUUGCAGGGGCACCACGGCCUGAUAACCCAAAAUCAAUCAGAGGACAGAUUAUUGACCAGUGCAAGAAAUCUAAGGUUUGUAAAUUGUUGGAAUGUGAUUUUGGGGAAAGCAAGUGCCACUCUCCAAGCAGCAUAAUGAAGAUGUUCCAGAGCUCUUUGUUCUGUUUGCAGCCUCAGGGGGAUUCUUAUACAAGGAGAUCAGCUUUUGACUCAAUGUUGGCCGGUUGCAUCCCUGUUUUCUUCCAUCCUGGGUCAGCUUAUACCCAAUACACUUGGCAUCUUCCAAGAAAUUUUUCAACGUAUUCAGUCUUCAUCCCAGAAGAUGAUAUUCGUAAGAGGAAUGUUAGCAUUGAAGAAAGAUUGAGGCAAAUUCCUCUAGAUGUUGUGAAGGAUAUGAGAGAGGAGGUCAUAAAUCUGAUACCAAGGCUCGUAUAUGCAGAUCCUAGGUCAAAAUUGGAGACUCUUAAGGAUGCCUUUGAUGUGGCUGUGCAGGCGAUUAUCGACAAAGUGACAAAAUUGAGGAGGGAUAUAAUUGCAGAUCGUGAAGAUAAGGACUUCAUUGAGGAGAACAGUUGGAAAUAUGCUUUGCUAGAGGAAGGUCAGCGGACGGUCGGACCACAUGAAUGGGAUCCAUUCUUUUCCAAACCUAAGGAUGGUGAAGGAGAUUCUGGUAGUUCAUCUGCUGAAGCUGCUAAAAAAUCAUGGAAGAAUGAGCAAAGGAGUCAGUCUUGACCUAUAUGCUAGGUCUAAUCAGAUAAAAGGGCUAAGAGAUCAUUUGAUCCAUCAUCUUUGGUGUUUUGAAUCUACUUCAGUGCAGGCAUAUCACCGAAAUCAAAGUGGAAGUUCAUGGAAGUACAAAUUCUGAUCGCGGCCAUGUUUGUCAUAUUUGAUGAAUUUGACUAAAUUUUGAAAGAAAUCAGGCCUACAACAAUAUUUGGAAUUAAGUGAUCAGAGUUUUCUUGUUAUAGAGUGUUUCAGUCUUGGAGAUGGACAAGACUUUCAUUUAUGCAAAGAACAUCAGUGUACAAGGUCAUAUUGCUUUUGCAUAUGGAGCUCAAAAUAUAUAUUUUGUAUAUGUUUCGUACAUGUAUUAUUGCAUGAGUGUGACCAAUUGUCGCUCAAGGAAGAUAUUGAAGUUGACUGAGUACAAUGAACUGUAUAAUUGCCGAAUAUCAUCAGUCCUUGUCCUUCUUUAGCCCCAGAGAAUUUUCUUCCUAGAAACUGUUGGAA